rnacentral:rRNA from 1 species
GGAGCGUUCUGUAAGCCUGUGAAGGUGGCCUGUGAGGGUUGCUGGAGGUAUCAGAAGUGCGAAUGCUGACAUAAGUAACGAUAAAGCGGGUGAAAAGCCCGCUCGCCGGAAGACCAAGGGUUCCUGUCCAACGUUAAUCGGGGCAGGGUGAGUCGACCCCUAAGGCGAGGCCGAAAGGCGUAGUCGAUGGGAAACAGGUUAAUAUUCCUGUACUUGGUGUUACUGCGAAGGGGGGACGGAGAAGGCUAUGUUGGCCGGGCGACGGUUGUCCCGGUUUAAGCGUGUAGGCUGGUUUUCCAGGCAAAUCCGGAAAACCAAGGCUGAGGCGUGAUGACGAGGCACUACGGUGCUGAAGUGACAAAUGCCCUGCUUCCAGGAAAAGCCUCUAAGCAUCAGGUAACAUCAAAUCGUACCCCAAACCGACACAGGUGGUCAGGUAGAGAAUACCAAGGCGCUUGAGAGAACUCGGGUGAAGGAACUAGGCAAAAUGGUGCCGUAACUUCGGGAGAAGGCACGCUGAUAUGUAGGUGAAGCGACUUGCUCGUGGAGCUGAAAUCAGUCGAAGAUACCAGCUGGCUGCAACUGUUUAUUAAAAACACAGCACUGUGCAAACACGAAAGUGGACGUAUACGGUGUGACGCCUGCCCGGUGCCGGAAGGUUAAUUGAUGGGGUUAGCGGUAACGCGAAGCUCUUGAUCGAAGCCCCGGUAAACGGCGGCCGUAACUAUAACGGUCCUAAGGUAGCGAAAUUCCUUGUCGGGUAAGUUCCGACCUGCACGAAUGGCGUAAUGAUGGCCAGGCUGUCUCCACCCGAGACUCAGUGAAAUUGAACUCGCUGUGAAGAUGCAGUGUACCCGCGGCAAGACGGAAAGACCCCGUGAACCUUUACUAUAGCUUGACACUGAACAUUGAGCCUUGAUGUGUAGGAUAGGUGGGAGGCUUUGAAGUGUGGACGCCAGUCUGCAUGGAGCCGACCUUGAAAUACCACCCUUUAAUGUUUGAUGUUCUAACGUUGGCCCGUAAUCCGGGUUGCGGACAGUGUCUGGUGGGUAGUUUGACUGGGGCGGUCUCCUCCUAAAGAGUAACGGAGGAGCACGAAGGUUGGCUAAUCCUGGUCGGACAUCAGGAGGUUAGUGCAAUGGCAUAAGCCAGCUUGACUGCGAGCGUGACGGCGCGAGCAGGUGCGAAAGCAGGUCAUAGUGAUCCGGUGGUUCUGAAUGGAAGGGCCAUCGCUCAACGGAUAAAAGGUACUCCGGGGAUAACAGGCUGAUACCGCCCAAGAGUUCAUAUCGACGGCGGUGUUUGGCACCUCGAUGUCGGCUCAUCACAUCCUGGGGCUGAAGUAGGUCCCAAGGGUAUGGCUGUUCGCCAUUUAAAGUGGUACGCGAGCUGGGUUUAGAACGUCGUGAGACAGUUCGGUCCCUAUCUGCCGUGGGCGCUGGAGAACUGAGGGGGGCUGCUCCUAGUACGAGAGGACCGGAGUGGACGCAUCACUGGUGUUCGGGUUGUCAUGCCAAUGGCACUGCCCGGUAGCUAAAUGCGGAAGAGAUAAGUGCUGAAAGCAUCUAAGCACGAAACUUGCCCCGAGAUGAGUUCUCCCUGACUCCUUGAGAGUCCUGAAGGAACGUUGAAGACGACGACGUUGAUAGGCCGGGUGUGUAAGCGCAGCGAUGCGUUGAGCUAACCGGUACUAAUGAACCGUGAGGCUUAACCUUACAACGCCGAAG